AACGCGAAGAACCUUACCCACCUUUGACAUGUACGGAAUUUGCCAGAGAUGGCUUAGUGCUCGAAAGAGAGCCGUAACACAGGUGCUGCAUGGCUGUCGUCAGCUCGUGUCGUGAGAUGUUGGGUUAAGUCCCGCAACGAGCGCAACCCUUGUCAUUAGUUGCUACGAAAGGGCACUCUAAUGAGACUGCCGGUGACAAACCGGAGGAAGGUGGGGAUGACGUCAAGUCCUCAGGGCCCUUAUAGGUGGGGCUACACACGUCAUACAAUGGCUGGUACAAAGGGUUGCCAACCCGCGAGGGGGAGCUAAUCCCAUAAAGCCAGUCGUAGUCCGGAUCGCAGUCUGCAACUCGACUGCGUGAAGUCGGAAUCGCUAGUAAUCGUGGAUCAGCAUGUCACGGUGAAUACGUUCCCGGGUCUUGUACACACCG
rnacentral:rRNA from 1 species